rnacentral:rRNA from 1 species
GACGAACGCUGGCGGCGUGCUUAACACAUGCAAGUCGAACGAAGUGGCGAACGGGGGAGUAACGCGUAAUCAACCUGCCCUUCAGAGGGGGACAACAGUUGGAAACGACUGCUAAUAACGCAUACUGAAGGAGGGGAUUGCGUUGGAUUAGCGAGUUGGAGGGGUAACGGCCCACCAAGGGGAUGAUCAGUAGCCGGUCUGAGAGGAUGAGCGGCCACAGUGGGACUGAGACACGGCCCAGACUCCUACGGGAGGCAGCAGUGGGGAAUCUUCCGCGAUUGACGAAAGUCUGACGGAGCAACGCCGCGUGAGUGAUGACGGCCUUCGGGUUGUAAAGCUCUGUUAAUCGGGACGCGGUACCGGAAUAGAAAGCCACGGCUAACUACGUGCCAGCAGCCGCGGUAAUUC